UACGAAGGGGGCUAGCGUUGCUCGGAAUCACUGGGCGUAAAGGGUGCGUAGGCGGGUCUUUAAGUCAGGGGUGAAAUCCUGGAGCUCAACUCCAGAACUGCCUUUGAUACUGAGGAUCUUGAGUUCGGGAGAGGUGAGUGGAACUGCGAGUGUAGAGGUGAAAUUCGUAGAUAUUCGCAAGAACACCAGUGGCGAAGGCGGCUCACUGGCCCGAUAACUGACGCU
rnacentral:rRNA from 1 species